AUUGAACGCUGGCGGCAUGCCUUACACAUGCAAGUCGAACGGUAACAGGUCUUCGGAUGCUGACGAGUGGCGAACGGGUGAGUAAUACAUCGGAACGUGCCCGAUCGUGGGGGAUAACGGAGCGAAAGCUUUGCUAAUACCGCAUACGAUCUACGGAUGAAAGCAGGGGACCGCAAGGCCUUGCGCGGACGGAGCGGCCGAUGGCAGAUUAGGUAGUUGGUGGGAUAAAAGCUUACCAAGCCGACGAUCUGUAGCUGGUCUGAGAGGACGACCAGCCACACUGGGACUGAGACACGGCCCAGACUCCUACGGGAGGCAGCAGUGGGGAAUAUUGCACAAUGGACGAAAGUCUGAUGCAGCAAUGCCGCGUGUGUGAAGAAGGCCUUCGGGUUGUAAAGCACUUUCAGAUGUGAGGAAAAGCAGUCUAUUAAUACUAGAUUGCCGUGACGUAACAU
rnacentral:rRNA from 1 species